UAUUUCGAGAAUCCAAUGGUUGUAGAUCACAAUUUUAAUAGUGGCUGGCCGCUUUGGAUAGAUUACUUCAAACCUUUUGGCCUACAUAACGUAUCCGAGCACUUGUGUCUAAAUUUAGUUCCAUAUCCUCGAAUUUUCUAUUCAGAAAGUUCAGAAGUUUGACACACGGAUAUGUAUCCAUUUCCGACGCUCAUACCCAAGUCCGAGUGACAUAGUGUAAUUCAACAAAAUCAAAUUGAAAUGUGUAAGUAGAGAACUGAAAUCUCACUCUAGGUUUCUCGGAAGAUUUUUUUGCCUCUUCUUUGUCUUGUCU
rnacentral:misc_RNA from 1 species